rnacentral:rRNA from 1 species
AGUGAACGCUGGCGGUAUGCCUAACACAUGCAAGUCGAACGGCAGCACAGUAAGAGCUUGCUCUUACGGGUGGCGAGUGGCGGACGGGUGAGGAAUACAUCGGAAUCUACUUUUUCGUGGGGGAUAACGUAGGGAAACUUACGCUAAUACCGCAUACGACCUACGGGUGAAAGCAGGGGAUCUUCGGACCUUGCGCGAUUGAAUGAGCCGAUGUCGGAUUAGCUAGUUGGCGGGGUAAAGGCCCACCAAGGCGACGAUCCGUAGCUGGUCUGAGAGGAUGAUCGGCCACACUGGAACUGAGACACGGUCCAGACUCCUACGGGAGGCGGCAGUGGGGAAUAUUGGACAAUGGGCGCAAGCCUGAUCCAGCCAUACCGCGUGGGUGAAGAAGGCCUUCGGGUUGUAAAGCCCUUUUGUUGGGAAAGAAAAGCAGCAGGUUAAUACCCCGCUGUUCUGACGGUACCCAAAGAAUAAGCACCGGCUAACUUCGUG